rnacentral:rRNA from 1 species
GAUGAACGCUGGCGGCGUGCCUAAUACAUGCAAGUCGAGCGAACAGACGAGGAGCUUGCUCCUUUGACGUUAGCGGCGGACGGGUGAGUAACACGUAGUUAACCUACCUAUAAGACUGGGAUAACUUCGGGAAACCGGAGCUAAUACCGGAUAAUAUUUCGAACCGCAUGGUUCGAUAGUGAAAGAUGGCUUUGCUAUCACUUAUAGAUGGACCUGCGCCGUAUUAGCUAGUUGGUAAGGUAACGGCUUACCAAGGCAACGAUACGUAGCCGACCUGAGAGGGUGAUCGGCCACACUGGAACUGAGACACGGUCCAGACUCCUACGGGAGGCAGCAGUAGGGAAUCUUCCGCAAUGGGCGAAAGCCUGACGGAGCAACGCCGCGUGAGUGAUGAAGGUCUUCGGAUCGUAAAACUCUGUUAUUAGGGAAGAACAAACGUGUAAGUAACUGUGCACGUCUUGACGGUACCUAAUCAGAAAGCCACGGCUAACUACGUG